AACUCACGUUUUUUCUUUCCUUCCCUUCUCUUCCCUUCCCUUCCCUUCCUUUACUAAUGUUGAACCAAAUAGGGCCUAAAAUUAACGCCUUACCCCCAUUUCUGCCCCCCUUAACCUAAUUUCUUUGAUGCUUUCUUCCUUCUUGUUCUUUCAUCUUCUUCCUCCCCGUGACUCAUUUUCUUUCUCUCUCCCCAGCUUGGUUUGGUGUCUUCAAUGGACAGAGACAAAAGUUCAAUGGUCAAAACUCUUGCAAGGUCCAUCAAAACUUCCGCGUGCAUCCUCAAAUUUCUAUCAUGGUAUCCGAGCCGGAAAAGUGAUUACGACAAAAUUGAAGAUCGGAGACCCAAGACAUGAAGGGUUAUGAGAUUUGAAGAAAGAGAUACAAAUCACAAGUUUUCUGAAUCUGAGGCUCUUGUGGUAGUUUGACAAAUUUCGAGCGGGUCAUCAUCAAUGUCUUCUCCUGCAGAGGAAUUAGCCACCCCAUAUUUGCUGAACUUGAUCUUCCUCCUGGGCUCUUAACUGUUCCCCCUUUGAGGCACCAGGUUUAUAUGGCAUAAUAUGUUCAUCUGUUGUUAACAGAAAAUUGCAUUGCCAAUGUCAUGGAUGGUUGAGAAAGAGUGAAGAACUAUGCAUUGUUUGGGUGGAAUUCUUGCAUACGACCAGGGACUCGGUAAAACAGUGGCCCAGAUGAAGUUGCUGUCGGAGCUUUAAAGCUUUGAACUUGGAUGGCGAUGAAAUGACAACAUAGGAAAUAAAAUCGAGGAUCCUAUGAUCACGUGCGAUACAACAACUUUUUAUGGAGUAUACAUUAGUGCUUGAAAUAACUUCAAUCUGAUGUAUAUUGUUCCUGGAAUCCAAGCAUAUGAUGAUUUUCUGGUCAUUAAGUAUAUGACUACACUAUAAUCUAUAAUAAUUAUUCGUACAUUGCAUAAUGCAUGGUCAAACAGCACUAGCGUUUGAACUAUGAAUGUCGAACGUUUAUGUAUUUUGCUAAGUUUGGGGACUGCAUGAGAAUAUGAGAUUGCUAUAGCGUAUACAAUCUAUUUUUCAA